AGCGAACGCUGGCGGCAGGCUUAACACAUGCAAGUCGAGCGCCCGUAGCAAUACGGGAGCGGCAGACGGGAGAGUAACACGUGGGAACAUGCCCCUUCGGUUCGGAAUAACUCAGGGAAACUUGAGCUAAUACCGGAUACGUCCGUAAGGAGAAAGAUUUAUCGCCGAAGGAUUGGCCCGCGUCCGAUUAGCUUGUUGGUGAGGUAAUGGCUCACCAAGGCGACGAUCGGUAGCGGUCUGAGAGGAUGAUCAGCCUCACUGGGACUGAGACACGGCCCAGACUCCUACGGGAGGCAGCAGUGGGGAAGUAUUGGACAAUGGGCGGAAGCCUGAUCCAGCCAUGCCGCGUGGGUGAUGAA
rnacentral:rRNA from 1 species